rnacentral:rRNA from 1 species
AAAACAUGUCUCUUUGUAGUUAUUAAAUAAAGAGUUGAGCCUGCUCGGUGAUAUAAAUUUAACAGCUGCGGUAUUUUAACUGUACUAAGGUAGCAUAAUAAUUUGCCUUAUAAAUUGAGGCUAGAAUGAAUGGUUUGACGAAGGUUUAUCUGUCUCUAUUUUAUUUAUUAGAAGUUAAUUUUUUAGUGAGAAAGCUAAAAUAUUUUUAAGGGACGAGAAGACCCUAUUGAGCUUGAAUUUAAUUAUAUUAUUUUAAUAAUAUUUUGAUAAAUUUUAAUUGGGGUGAUUAAGGAAUAAAAAUUUAUAUAUAUUAUGUAGUAACUUCCUUAAUUAUUAUACUGUUAGGUUAAGUAACCAAUAAUAUUGCUUAUAAUAAAGUUACCAUAGGGAUAACAGCGUAAUUUAUUUAGAGAGUUCUUAUUGAAAAAUGAGAUUGCGACCUCGAUGUUGGAUUAAAGUAACCUUAAGGUGCAGAAGCUUUAUAUGGUAAAUCUGUUCGAUUUUUAAAACUUUACGUGAUC